UACGAGUGCCCCAAGCGUUAUCCGGAAUCAUUGGGCGUAAAGGGUGUGUAGGUGGCGUUGUUAGUCUUCUGUCAAAUCUCCCAGCUUAACUGGGAAUCUGCGGAGGAAACGGCAAUGCUAGAGGAUGCGAGAGGUGAAUGGAACUCAUGGAGUAGGGUGAAAUCCGUUGAUAUCAUGGGGAACACCAAAGGCGAAGGCAAUUCACUGGCGCAUUCCUGACACUGAAACAACGAAA
rnacentral:rRNA from 1 species